rnacentral:tRNA from 1 species
CUAGAUAGACGGGCCUCGAUCCCGUAAUAAUUUAGUUAACAGCUAAUUACCCAAACCAGCGGGCUUCUAUCCG